AUCCGAAGACACACCAGGAACAUGCAUCCGUGAUGACAAAGACAAAUGGUUGAAGACAAGUCAAGGACAAACUUGGGACACUUCUCAAGAAGAAGAUAUCAAUGAGAGGCCUACAAUGACGCACUUCAACACUCUCAAGACCAAAGACCACCUGCAUUUAAAGAUCACCUGCUUUAAGGAAGUCAACGACCUGCCCGUCAACGGGGAUCCACACCAAGACUCGGCCAUUCUAGAUUAAGAUGAGACAUCUAGAUGUCGCUAACCAACAUGAGUAACCCCCAGGACCAGCAAACAGACACACUACUUUGUCACUCCGACUUUGGAAUACACACGCAAAC
rnacentral:lncRNA from 1 species